CCAGACUCCUACGGGAGGCAGCAGUGGGGAAUAUUGCACAAUGGGGGAAACCCUGAUGCAGCGACGCCGCGUGGGUGACGAAGUAUUUCGGUAUGUAAAGCCCUAUCAGCAGGGAAGAAGAUGACAGUACCUGACUAAGAAGCCCCGGCUAACUACGUGCCAGCAGCCGCGGUAAUACGUAGGGGGCAAGCGUUAUCCGGAUUUACUGGGUGUAAAGGGAGCGUAGGUGGCAUGGCAAGCCAGAAGUGAAAACCCGGGGCUUAACCCCGCGGAUUGCUUUUGGAACUGUCAGGCUGGAGUGCAGGAGGGGCAGGCGGAAUUCCUGGUGUAGCGGUGAAAUGCGUAGAUAUCAGGAGGAACACCGGUGGCGAAGGCGGCCUGCUGGACUGUAACUGACACUGAGGCUCGAAAGCGUGGGGAGCAAACAGGAUUAGAUACCCGCGUA
rnacentral:rRNA from 1 species